CAGUAGCCGCGGUAAUACGAAGGGUGCAAGCGUUACUCGGAGUUACUGGGCGUAAAGCGUGCGUAGGUGGUGGUUUAAGUCCGUUGUGAAAGCCCUGGGCUCAACCUGGGAAUUGCAGUGGAUACUGGGUCACUAGAGUGUGGUAGAGGAUGGUGGAAUUCCCGGUGUAGCGGUGAAAUGCGUAGAGAUCGGGAGGAACAUCAGUGGCGAAGGCGGCCAUCUGGGACAACACUGACGCUGAGGCACGAAAGCGUGGGGAGCAAACAGGAUUAGAUACCCCGGUAGUCCCUGUCUCUUAUAC
rnacentral:rRNA from 1 species